rnacentral:rRNA from 1 species
UACGGGGGGGGCAAGCGUUGUUCGGAAUUACUGGGCGUAAAGGGCGCGUAGGCGGCUUACCAAGUCAGGGGUGAAAUCCGGCAGCUUAACUGUCGAAGUGCCUUUGAUACUGGUGAGCUCGAGGGAGGUAGGGGUCCGUGGAACUUCCGGUGGAGCGGUGAAAUGCGUUGAUAUCGGAAGGAACGCCGGUGGCGAAAGCGACGGACUGGAUCUCUUCUGACGCUGAGGCGCGAAAGCUAGGGGAGCAAACGGG